rnacentral:rRNA from 1 species
AUUGAACGCUGGCGGCAUGCUUUACACAUGCAAGUCGAACGGGAGCUCGUGCUUCGGCCUGGGGGCGGGUGGCGAACGGGUAAGUACUACCUCUGAGCGGGCCCAGAAGUGGGGGAUAGCUCGGCUAAAACCGGAUUGAUUCAGCAUACGACCUGAGAGUGCACGCGGGGGGGGUUCUGCCCCCGCGCUAUUAGUUGGUCCGGCGGUAGCUUAGCGAGUGGGUGGGGUGUAGGCCUACCAAGGCGACGAUCUGUAGCAGGUCUGAGGGGACGACCAGCCACACUGGGAGUGAGACACGGCCCAGACUCCUACGGGAGGCAGCAGCGGGCAACUUUGGACAAUGGGCGAAAGCCUGAUCCAGCAAUGCGGCGUGUGUGAUGAAGGCCUUCGGGUGGGAAAGCACAUGGGGCAGGAACGAAAAGCAGUGUGCCAAGACGAAGAUGCGAUGACGGUACCUGCAGAAUAAGCACCGGCUAACUACGUG